UGUGUUUUACGUUCCUUUCUUAUCAUGUGGUCCUUCAAUGAGGGUUUUUCAUUGUAUGUGGAAGGAAAAUUGAUAACAUCAUGUUCUAUACAAUGAUCCUUACUUUUCUUUUUAUCACUACAGAUGUUUGAUGCUAUGUUUUCGUCGUAGUCAUCUAAAUUUUGAUCCAUUUUCCCAUGGAUUAAUGAGAUCUUCUGUCUGAAUAGAUUGGGCAUGAAAAUUGAUAAAAUUUGUAUUCUUAAGGAACUACGAGUCUUCUGCAUAUUUCUUUUAUUGUAACCUAAUAUUUUACAAACUCAAAUUUGUUUCUUGUUUUAGGUGACGAAUUGCACAUUGGUGGUUUCACCUUUUCCUUCAAAAAUUUUAUUCUUUCAUAUGAAUCCCUACUCAUUUUUACAUUAAAAGUUUACUGUGUAUUUAUUGUAUUUUUGUCAACAACUUCACAGAUACCAUUUUUUUUUUU
rnacentral:lncRNA from 1 species